rnacentral:rRNA from 1 species
CCUACGGGAGGCAACAGUGGGGGAUAUUGCACAAUGGGGGGAAACCCUGAUGCAGCGACGCCGCGUGUGGGAAGACGGUCCUCUGGAUUGUAAACCACUGUCCCCAGGGACGAAGAUGACGGUACCUGGGGAGGAAGCUCCGGCUAACUACGUGCCAGCAGCCGCGGUCAUACGCAGGGAGCGAGCGUUGUCCGGAGUUACUGGGGGUAAAGGGAGCGUAGGCGGGGAUGCAAGUUGGGUGUAAAAACUACCGGCUCAACUGGUAGUCGCACUCAAAACUGCAGCUCUUGAGUGAGGUAGAGGCAGGCGGAAUGCCUGGUGUAGCGGUGAAAUGCGUAGAUAUUAGGAGGAACACCAGUGGCGAAGGCGGCCUGCUGGGGUUUUACUGACGCUGAGGCUCGAAAGUGUGGGGAGCAAACAGGAUUAGAUACCCGUGUAGUC